GAUGAACGCUGGCGGCGUGCUUAACACAUGCAAGUCGAGCGAAGCGCUUUGGUUAGAUUCUUCGGAUGAAGACCUUUGUGACUGAGCGGCGGACGGGUGAGUAACGCGUGGGUAACCUGCCUCAUACAGGGGGAUAACAGUUAGAAAUGACUGCUAAUACCGCAUAAGACCACAGUACCGCAUGGUACAGGGGUAAAAACUCCGGUGGUAUGAGAUGGACCCGCGUCUGAUUAGCUGGUGUGGGGUAACGCCUACCAAGGCGACGAUUGGUAGCCGGACUGAGAGGUUGAACGGGCCACAUUGGGACUGAGACACGGCCCAGACUCCUACGGGAGCAGCAGUGGGGGAUAUUGCACAAUGGGGGAAACCCUGAUGCAGCGACGCCGCGU
rnacentral:rRNA from 1 species